UACGUAGGGUGCAAGCGUUAAUCGGAAUUACUGGGCGUAAAGCGUGCGCAGGCGGUUCUGAAAGUCAGCUGUGAAAGCCCCGGGCUUAACCUGGGAAUUGCGGUUGAAACUACAGGGCUAGAAUCUGGCAGAGGGGGGUGGAAUUCCACGUGUAGCAGUGAAAUGCGUAGAGAUGUGGAGGAACACCGAUGGCGAAGGCAGCCCCCUGGGCUGAGAUUGACGCUCAGGCACGAAAGCGUGGGGAGCAAACAGG
rnacentral:rRNA from 1 species